rnacentral:rRNA from 1 species
CAGCAGCCGCGGUAAUACGUAGGGAGCAAGCGUUGUCCGGAAUCAUUGGGCGUAAAGGGUGCGCAGGCGGUCUGGCAAGUCAAGUGUGAAAUGUAUCAGCUUAACUGAUACACUGCGCUUGAAACUGUCAGACUUGAGGGCAAGAGAAGAGAGCGGAAUUCCUAGUGUAGCGGUGAAAUGCGUAGAUAUUAGGAAGAACACCAGUGGCGAAAGCGGCUCUCUAGCUUGACCCUGACGCUGAGGCACGAAAGCUAGGGGAGCGAACGGGAUUAGAUACCCCGGUAGUCCUAGCUGUAAACGCUGGAUACUAGGUGUUGGGGGUUCAACUCCCUCAGUGCUGCAGUUAACGCGUUAAGUAUCCCGCCUGGGGAUUACGACCGCAAGGUUGAAACUUAAAGGAAUUGGCGGG